rnacentral:rRNA from 1 species
UACGUAGGGUGCGAGCGUUGUCCGGAAUUAUUGGGCGUAAAGGGCUCGUAGGCGGUUUGUCGCGUCGGGAGUGAAAACCCCAGGGCUUAACCCUGGGCUGGCUUCCGAUACGGGCAGCUAGAGGUAUGCAGGGGAGAACGGAAUUCCUGGUGUAGCGGUGAAAUGCGCAGAUAUCAGGAGGACACCGGUGGCGAAGGCGGUUCUCUGGGCGAUUGCCUGACGCUGAGGAGCGAAAGUGUGGGGAGCGAACGG